rnacentral:rRNA from 1 species
CCUACGGGUGACAGCAGUGAGGAAUAUUGGUCAAUGGGCGUAAGCCUGAACCAGCCAAGUCGCGUGCGGGAUGAAGGUUCUAUGGAUCGUAAACUUCUUUUAUAAGGGAAUAAAGUGCGGCACGCGUCCCGUUUUGUAUGUACCUUAUGAAUAAGGAUCGGCUAACUCCGUGCCAGCAGCCGCGGUAAUACGGAGGAUCCGAGCGUUAUCCGGAUUUAUUGGGUUUAAAGGGUGCGUAGGCGGUCUUUUAAGUCAGCGGUGAAAGGCUGUGGCUCAACCCUAGCAUUGCCGUUGAAACUGGGAGGCUUGAGAAUGUUUGAGGCAGGCGGAAUGCGUGGUGUAGCGGUGAAAUGCUUAGAUAUCACGCAGAACCCCGAUUGCGAAGGCAGCGUACCAAGCCAUGACUGACGCUGAGGCACGAAAGCGUGGGGAUCAAACAGGAUUAGAUACCCCUGUAGUC